rnacentral:rRNA from 1 species
UACGUAGGGUGCGAGCGUUAAUCGGAAUUACUGGGCGUAAAGCGUGCGCAGGCGGUUCGUUAAGUCAGCUGUGAAAGCCCCGGGCUUAACCUGGGAAUGGCGGUUGAAACUGGCGAACUUGAAUCUGGCAGAGGGGGGUGGAAUUCCACGUGUAGCAGUGAAAUGCGUAGAUAUCAGGAGGAACACCGAUGGCGAAGGCAGGUCUCUGGGCUGACACUGACGCUCAUGCACGAAAGCGUGGGGAGCAGACAGG